AGUGAACGCUGGCGGCAGGCCUAACACAUGCAAGUCGAACGGCAGCACAAGAGAGCUUGCUCUCUGGGUGGCGAGUGGCGGACGGGUGAGGAAUGCAUCGGAAUCUGCCCAUUUGUGGGGGAUAACCUCGGGAAACCGGGACUAAUACCGCAUACGACCUACGGGUGAAAGCCGGGGAUCUUCGGACCUUGCGCAGAUGGAUGAGCCGAUGCCGGAUUAGCUAGUUGGAGGGGUAAAGGCCCACCAAGGCGACGAUCCGUAGCUGGUCUGAGAGGAUGAUCAGCCACACUGGGACUGAGACACGGCCCAGACUCCUACGGGAGGCAGCAGUGGGGAAUAUUGGACAAUGGGCGCAAGCCUGAUCCAGCCAUGCCGCGUGUGUGAAGAAGGCCUUCGGGUUGUAAAGCACUUUUGUUGGGAAAGAAAAGCAGCCGGUUAAUACCCGGUUGUCAUGACGGUACCCAAAGAAUAAGCACCGGCUAACUUCGUG
rnacentral:rRNA from 1 species